GCAAUCUACCUUUUACAGAGGGAUUGCCCAGAGAAAUUUGGAUUAAUACCUCAUAGCAUAGCAGCUUCGCAUGAAGCCACUAUUAAAGUCACAACGGUAAAAGAUGAGCAUGCGUCCCAUUAGCUAGUUGGUAAGGUAACGGCUUACCAAGGCUACGAUGGGUAGGGGUCCUGAGAGGGAGAUCC
rnacentral:rRNA from 1 species